rnacentral:rRNA from 1 species
GCUCAGGAUGAACGCUGGCGGCGUGCUUAACACAUGCAAGUCGAGCGGGGUUAUACCAAGUGGAGGCCUUCGGGCCGAAACUAGUAAAACCUAGCGGCAGACGGGUGAGUAACGCGUGGGUAAUCUGCCUAUGACAUAGGGACAACAGCUCGAAAGGGCUGCUAAUACCUAAUAAACUUCCGGUGCCGCAUGGUACAGGAGGAAAAGGUCCGCCGGUCAUAGAUGAGCCCGCGUCUGAUUAGCUAGUUGGUAAGGUAAAGGCUUACCAAGGCAUCGAUCAGUAGCCGACCUGAGAGGGUGAUCGGCCACAUUGGGACUGAGACACGGCCCAAACUCCUACGGGAGGCAGCAGUGGGGAAUAUUGCACAAUGGACGGAAGUCUGAUGCAGCAACGCCGCGUGAGGGAAGAAGGUUUUCGGAUCGUAAACCUCUAUCGACUGGGAAGAUGAUGACGGUACCAGAGUAAGAAGCCCCGGCUAACUACGUGCCAGCAGCCGCGGUAAUACGUAGGGGGCAAGCGUUAUCCGGAAUUACUGGGUGUAAAGGGUGAGUAGCCGGUUGCGUAAGUCACAUGUGAAAUCCCGAGGCUCAACCUCGGGACUGCAUGAGAAACUGUGCAACUAGAGUACAGGAGAGGUAA